AAAAUGAUUCUUCAAGAGAAGAAUAUAGAACAUUCCAAUUUAAUGGUAUAGACGGGUUCGAUUCCCGUUGCCUCCACCAAUAAUAAGUUUUAUUACUUAUUUCCUUAAUAUAGUUUGCAAAAACCCUCAGAGACUACAUGCCAAACCCCCUCCUCAGAUUUUUUGAAAAAAUCUGAGGAGGGGUGAAGAUAUAGUCCGAACUGCAUAGCGAUAUGCAG
rnacentral:ncRNA from 1 species